CCACCCUCAUCGCUGCCUGUGUGU
rnacentral:miRNA from 1 species